rnacentral:rRNA from 1 species
CCUACGGGAGGCAGCAGUAGGGAAUCUUCGGCAAUGGAGGAAACUCUGACCGAGCAACGCCGCGUGAGUGAUGAAGGUCUUCGGAUUGUAAAGUUCUUUUCUAAGGGAAGAAGGAAGUGACGGUACCUUAGGAAUAAGCUUCCGCUAACUACGUACCAGCAGCCGGGGUAAUACGUAGGAGGCGAGCGUUAUCCGGAAUGGCUGGGCGUAAAGGGCGGGUAGGUGGUUUGGCAAGUUAGUAGCGUAACUCCAAGGCUCAACCUUGGAACUACUACUAAAACUGUUGGACUUGAGUGCAGGAGGGGCAACCGGAACUCCUAGUGUAGCGGUGGAAUGCGUAGAUAUUAGGAGGAACACCAGUGGCGAAGGCGGGUCGCUAGUCUGUAACUGACACUGAGGCACGAAAGCAUGGGGAGCAAACAGGAUUAGAUACCCCGGUAGUC